GCCCGGAUAUGUACUAGCUAUUUAUAUUGCGAGGACUGGAAAGUUGCAGCAAGAAAUAGUCUGAAAGUGCUAAGUCCGGGUUUUU
rnacentral:SRP_RNA from 1 species